rnacentral:rRNA from 1 species
UACGUAGGGCGCAAGCGUUAUCCGGAAUUAUUGGGCGUAAAGAGCUCGUAGGCGGUUUGUCGCGUCUGCCGUGAAAGACCGGGGCUCAACUCCGGUCUGCAGUGGGUACGGGCAGACUAGAGUGCAGUAGGGGAGACUGGAAUUCCUGGUGUAGCGGUGAAAUGCGCAGAUAUCAGGAGGAACACCGAUGGCGAAGGCAGGUCUCUGGGCCGAUACUGACGCUGAGGAGCGAAAGCGUGGGGAGCGAACAGGAUUAGAA